rnacentral:rRNA from 1 species
AGUGAACGCUGGCGGUAGGCCUAACACAUGCAAGUCGAACGGCAGCACAGUAAGAGCUUGCUCUUACGGGUGGCGAGUGGCGGACGGGUGAGGAAUACAUCGGAAUCUACUUUUUCGUGGGGGAUAACGUAGGGAAACUUACGCUAAUACCGCAUACGACCUACGGGUGAAAGCAGGGGAUCUUCGGACCUUGCGCGAUUGAAUGAGCCGAUGUCGGAUUAGCUAGUUGGCGGGGUAAAGGCCCACCAAGGCGACGAUCCGUAGCUGGUCUGAGAGGAUGAUCAGCCACACGGGAACUGAGACACGGUCAAGACUCCUACGGGAGGCAGCAGUGGGGAAUAUUGGGCAAUGGGCGCAAGCCUGAUCCAGCCAUACCGCGUGGGUGAAGAAGGCCUUCGGGUUGUAAAGCCCUUUUGUUGGGAAAGAAAAGCAGCAGGUUAAUACCCCGCUGUUCUGACGGUACCCAAAGAAUAAGCACCGGCUAACUUCGUG